ACAGAAUUGACAAGUUGGAGAAUCUAAAACACCGAUCCUAAAUAAAUGAGCACCACUACGAAAAUGUCCCAGACGUAACCGACAAAUUGUGGUGUAAAAUUUUCUGUGGACAUUUAAGGAUAGAAGAAUGGAUGAUAAUUGUUCUAAAUCAACAUUAUUAAAUGCUCCUACAACAUCCAAAAAAACACCAGCCAAUAUCUUAUUGUCAAUCUGGGCACUAUGGAUGUCAAGACAUAAAUGCCGUAGACUCUCACAAGCAGAACGACCGCAUCGAAAUCCAAAUUUAUUAUUAGAUUACUGUGUGGAGGAAUGUUGGAUGGAAUUGAAGAAGAUUCAGUUUCCGACACUACCAUGGAAAAUUUUGUGAUUGUAGGCAAGUGAUAUCUGCCCAAAGAGUCCUGAUGAACUUGCCAUUCACAGCACAGGAAUAAUGAAGAUGAUACUAUUGUUAGAUCUAUUCCAUUUGGUCUCCAAGAAUUAGUACCCACUGUAGUUCGUUGAUCAUUAUUUAAGAGCAUUAAGUCAUUAUCGUCCAUUACAUCCAUGA